CAGUGGCGAACGGGUGAGUAACACGUGGGCAAUCUGCCCUGCACUCUGGGACAAGCCCUGGAAACGGGGUCUAAUACCGGAUAUUACCUUCCCCUGCAUGGGGGUUGGUGGAAAGCUCCGGCGGUGCAGGAUGAGCCCGCGGCCUAUCAGCUUGUUGGUGGGGUAAUGGCCUACCAAGGCGACGACGGGUAGCCGGCCUGAGAGGGCGACCGGCCACACUGGGACUGAGACACGGCCCAGACUCCUACGGGAGGCAGCAGUGGGGAAUAUUGCACAAUGGGCGAAAGCCUGAUGCAGCGACGCCGCGUGAGGGAUGACGGCCUUCGGGUUGUAAACCUCUUUCAGCAGGGAAGAAGCGAAAGUGACGGUACCUGCAGAAGAAGCACCGGCUAACUACGUGCCAGCAGCCGCGGUAAUACGUAGGGUGCGAGCGUUGUCCGGAAUUAUUGGGCGUAAAGAGCUCGUAGGCGGCCUGUUGCGUCGAUUGUGAAAGCCCGGGGCUUAACCCCGGGUCUGCAGUCGAUACGGGCAGGCUAGAGUUCGGUAGGGGAGAUCGGAAUUCCU
rnacentral:rRNA from 1 species